GUUGACUAAAUAUUACAACAUAAUACACCACAUUCAUUUGUUUAGCUUCAUUAGUCCAAUUGCAUUUUUAGCUUGCUUCUAUGAGAAUGAGAAAGAUAAAAACAAUCAGAUAAAUCGUGUUCAUGUUGGUAGUCCCACUAAUACAAAAUAUUGGAUAAAAUUUGGACAGUUGCAGUUGACAACAAAUACUUCAUCUUAUAUCCACCUAAAGAAAAGAAAAUCAAGCAUUAGUAUUAUUGGUAAGACUUACAUAUGGUAGUAUAACAAUCAUAAAAUUCAGCUAGUUUGCAUAUUCAGCAAAACAAUCAUAAAUUCAUUAAUUUUGGAGGAAAAAGAGGGGCAUAAAAUAUCAGCAUGGACUAAGAGGAGAAAGAAAAGAUUCAGACACGGUAGACCUAUUGAAAUGCCCCCAUCAAAGGCAUGUUCUAAAUCUGAAUUGGGUCUCUUCUUUUUAGCAAUCUAUAGCUAGGCAUUAAAUAAUGAUUUACAACCUUGGAGGACCUAUUUAGGGAUAUGAACCUUUAACCUAUUUCAUUGGAGGAGACUAUCUUCAUUGAUUUUGGUAUUGAUGUAAUAACUGAAAAGUGAUACACACCAAAUUUAAAAUAGAAAAUCUGCAAUAGAAGCACUACCAGUAAAUCACAAUUCACAACCAUACUCGCAUAUUCUGUGACUUAGGAGAGAUCAUGUAGUGGUAUUUCUAUUUCAAUCACCUGACCCUACUCUAUUCAUGAGAACAACUGCUAUCUAUGUUGAAUGAAUGCGUCCAGGUUACUACAAAAAUUUCUAGACAAAUUCUAACUUCUGCAAAUACUACUUCAAUUGCCUUAUUUCUAUUAUAUACUUACAAGCAACGACCAUCUCAUCAUGACCAUCUAUCGAAGAGAUGCACCAAAAAGAUCUGAAAAACAUAAAGCAGAUAAACGAACCUUCAAAAUAUAAGUUUUGAGUAGUAUUUAAACACAUGUUAAAGGAUACAAUGAAAAGAAGCAUAUUGCCAACGACAAGUCUGUUUUUUCAUUUCCUUGCAAAACUUACUAAUGACAAACUAAGUGAAUGUGUGGGCUAAAGAUGUUGCAACCUGAUCAUUCUAGAUAUGUCCAUGUUAUUGUCCUUGGUGGGGCUUCAGUGAGAGUUCAUCAUUUAUAAUUUGCUGCUUUUGAGGCUAGUGAAAAAUAUUCAACAUGUUGUGCGAGAGAUUUGGAAACAACAGUUAUCACUUAUCACAUGCCAUCAGUUCUUGCUCGAUCCUUAUCUAUAUGAAAUAAAGCGUGCGUCUAUACCGAUAAGUAGAUAUUGAUUGAUCUCAACUAAUCAAGGGGAAAAUGUUUGAUAUUUUGGUCAAUUCAAAAUAUCAUAAUAAAAAUACCCCCGUACCCUGACAACUUAAAAAAAGUGAAAAGAAGAAAGGAAUGUUGAGGCUAGGAAUGAAGUGCAAAGAGAAAACUGGAGAAAUAAAACUCACAUGCAGACAUCCACUAAUCAAACAAAUCAAAUGCUCAAAAAACAAAAUCAGAGAACAUAGCUUACCAAUUAAUACAAUCGCAGCACACCAGAUUGAUCGGCAAAGGACUGUCAAUCCAACUAAAGAAGAUACUAUCAUGUGACAGAAGCAUUAUUCAAAGUUCAAACUUGCCGCAAUUAUUACUCCCACCGUUCCAGUUUAUGUAAACCUAGCUAUUUCCUUUUUGGUCCGUUCCAAAAAGAAUGACCCCUUUCUAAAUUUGGAAACAAUUUAGCUUAAACUUCCAAUUCUACCCUUAAUGAGAAGCUUUUAUAACCACACAAAUACUCUGGUCCCCAUUUUGACUUGUUUAGGACCACAAAUUCUAAAAAAGUCAUCAUUUUUUCUUAAACUCCGUGAUCAGUCAAACAUGUUCACAUAAAUUGGAACAGAGGGAGUAUUAUUGAAAAAAAUGGAAGGGAAGGAAAAGAUAAAGCUGUAAUUUUGAUUACUUUUGCUCCACGCGUAUAGUAGUCACCGGAACAUCUAUGUACAAGAUAAAAAGUCAUAAGCAAGCUGCGGUAAGGACUUUAUUUUCCUGCAAAACAAUUGUUGAUGUAUAGAAAAACAUGUUACUAAUUUAUAUGAGGGAAUCAAUUAGGAUAUUUGCGAACGAACAUUUAAACUUGUUGCUAAAUUUUUAUGUUUGAGUAGCUUAGUAACUUUUAUUCUCUGUGUAAAAGCAUAGGAGUUAGCAGGACUUCAGAAUAUGCAAGCAUUUGAACUAUCUCGGAGGAGUUGAUUGAAAUAUUUCAAGAAUUUCUCAAGGAUUAAUCUUCAUUUCCUGCACAUACUCUAGUCCCUCUCGAGAUAGUAAUUCUGGGGUUUUCACAUUAUAAAAUGACAUAAAGAUGAUCUCCGAAUGAUCUUCUUAGCUGCUACUUGAUUUUCAAAUGUAUCAACCAAAUCAGACAACCCAAUGAAUGAAAGCUCUUAAUCUUCAUUAUACUCCAGCAUAGAGCGAUAAUGUCUCAAAUUCUAGAGUAAUCUUAAUAUCUCGUUCUGAACACUUAUGUCAUUUGAGUAUCAAAUAAAUCUCAGUUGUAACCUAAAAGCAACAACCAUAAAUUCCAGCUUUGUUUCUUUGAUACUAUGUUGUAGAUUAGUUUUAUGGAGUUACAACCAACAAAUCAGAAGUAGAAAGAUUCAAAAAAUGACGAAGAAACAAUAAUAAUUCAACGAUGAUAGAUAAACAAAAUUGAUUGUCCUUGUAAUAUUGCAUAGAUCAGAGAGCUAUUGUUGAAAUGUGAGACCCGUUUGGCCAUAGAUCACUUUUGACACGGAACCAACCCCCAGAGGAAACAGAGGGACAACAACACAAAACUGCAGCACAUCCCUAUUUUUAUUUCUAAAGCAAGAAAGAACAACGACACUGCCACUCUUCAAUUAAUUUCUAAAUCAAUUCCCAAAUAGAAUUUCAGUGCACCUUUAUCAUCUCUCAACGCAAUUCUAAUGUGCAAAGUCGCCCAAACCUGUAGAAGUAAGAGGUUCUUACUCCCAUGUAGUCUAAAUACUUUUUUUCUUACUAUUUUCUUCAAUCCUUUAUCUUCUUUUUUAUAACAAGAAUAAGUACAACUAUAGAUUUGUUGCCUAACAUAAACUUUUCCUAAGCAUUCAUCCCACAAAUCAAAGUAGGCAAAUAACUUUAAGCUUUUCCUAAUCAUGUAUAUUCCAAUCAAUCAACCUCCAUUCCAUACAUCAUCCUAUUUCUUUGGAUGCUGUCAUAGCCAAAAAGAAGUGACAAAAUAAGACGGUAAACUUUCCUCUUCCAUUGUUAUCUUCGAGAAAUAGAGUAAGACAGUGGACACAUAGAAGGUUUGAAGAUGAAAUUUCAUAAAGAUACCCCACGCCCUAGAUCACUUUCAGCAUUCUAAAGAUGCCAAGUGAAUGUAGAAAUUUGAAAGUUCUAAAAGAUGGAUAUAUAUUCUUUGUUCCGAGUUGGCGAUUUUGGUGUUAUAGAUGUAGUUUAUUGUAAGGUCUGUAAUGUUAUUUGAAAAGUGUUCAUGACGGCUAGUAAGAUGAUAAAGCCCAUAAUACUGUAUGUAAUACCCGAAAGAAUUGUACUCUAGCUAGUUUGUUGAACAUACCAUCACAAUCUCGGUGUUGUUUGUAAUUAGAAAAUUUACCUUUUUAAUCAAAAGCAAUAUAAGGAGAAAAUAUGGUCAAAGUAUAGAAUCAGAUAUGCUGAGCACAUUUUUCCUGAAAUAAAAAGAACUCAAUUUAGUAAAAAUUUUGAUUCAUAUCUUCUCAAGCUCAACCUGAGACUAUACUUUCCUAAAGUCGGAAUAGGAUCGUUCUCCACUUCACGAGAUUUUAAAAAGAACAACUUAAUUUUGUAAAUACUUCAUUAAUCAUUUUUCCCAAAUAAAGUUUUUAAACAUAUAAAAUCUCUAUAAGAAGACAAAAGUGAAAGAACACAAGUAUUUUUCUUGGCUGUACAUUAAAAAUAAAAAGAAUGCAUUUGAAACAUUAGUUUGCUAAUUUCAGUACUGUUGAAGAAGCCUUGUAAAACAUUAAAUUCGGAUAGCCUAACAUACAAUUAUUUCUUGUUAGCUAAGAAGUCCUUUAAAGUAUGCAUCAACUACCGUCAACAGUCAGAUAAAUAUUACUUCUCAUUUAAUUCUAUCCUCUCAUGUCUACAGCAGUUUAGAAAAUCCACAAAAUUGUUUAGAUCCUGGGGCCAUCUUACAAUUACACCAAGAAUACACAAACUGCAAUGACUUGAAUUGAAUACAUGCUAAGGCCCAAUAAGUAUUUUGAAAAAAACUAUAGUUUCUUUCCACAUUGUGCAAAAAAAGCACGAAGGAACUUAUUACUGGAUGUCUUUGUGAAUGUAAUAGAAAAUCUCAUGAAUUAAGCAUAAAAAACCUUUUGUUCUUGGGGAUAAUUGCAUUUUUAAUGAGUUACUAAUAUUGAAAAGGGGAAGUAAGUAAAAGUAAACCAAAAUGUGCAGAACUUACCUGGUACAAGUGAAGCAAUAUUCCUUUCCCCACUUUCAGUUAACAACUUCCUUUAAGAAAAAUCUGAAAAAUCAAUAUUUUGGGACCAUUAUAUUCCUACUAAAUGAAUACAAAAAUAUUCGGUAAUAUCAAAAGUUCAUAUUUCAAACAAAACCCAAGUAAGCGAUACACUAUUCAGUUUAAUAGAGUCUCGUCAAAAAAUAAUAAAAUAGGAGUAAUAAUUUUGAAAAAGAAGAAGAUAAACCCAAUUAAAGAACAUUGUGUGAGAAAAAUAUUGUGCAUGAGUAAAUCAAACAUAUCUACUGACAUGUAUGUAUAACAUUCAAUAAAAUACUGCCCAAAAGUUCAAGAUGCCCAAAAAAUUAUAUUAAAAACAGGAUCCAAACACAUGCAUAGCCGAGAAAACAGAGGAAGAUGCAAAGAAGGUGUCCAAUUCCCUGCUUCUUAGUAGGAGAAACUGAUAGAUAAGUCACCAAAGAAACCCCAAAUUUUCCAUCUUUCAAUUUUCUUUUUCAAACUUUCAGUUCAUACACUUUGAAAACCUAAAUAGACACAAUUCAAUAAUGUAGCCACAUAAGACUCACCAAUCCUUGUAACAUUAAAAAAAUUAGAAAUGGUAAAAGAUAAAAGAUAAAAGAUAUUCUCCAUCUUCAUAAUAGCCAAAGGUAACACAUAAAUAUUAAAAAAAUGAACCCAGAUGGGACUAAAUCUAAAAACUGAGCAAAAU
rnacentral:lncRNA from 1 species